UGGGGAAUCUUCCGCAAUGGACGAAAGUCUGACGGAGCAACGCCGCGUGAGUGAAGAAGGUUUUCGGAUCGUAAAACUCUGUCUUUUGGGGCGAACGUGAGUAUGGUGAACAAUCAUAGUCAGUGACGGUACCAAAGGAGGAAGCCACGGCUAACUACGUGCCAGCAGCCGCGGUAAUACGUAGGUGGCAAGCGUUGUCCGGAAUUAUUGGGCGUAAAGAGCGCGUAGGCGGGAUAGUCAGUCUGUUGUAAAAGUGCGGGGCUCAACCCCGUGAUCGCAAUGGAAACAGCUAUUCUUGAGUGCAGGAGAGGAAAGUGGAAUUCCCAGUGUAGCGGUGAAAUGCGUAGAUAUUGGGAGGAACACCAGUGGCGAAGGCGACUUUCUGGACUGUGUCUGACGCUGAGGCGCGAAAGCCAGGGGAGCGAACGGGAUUAGAUACCCCGGUAGUCCUGGCCGUAAACGAUGGGUACUAGGUGUGGGAGGUAUCGACCCCUUCCGUGCCGGAGUUAACGCAAUAAGUACCCCGCCUGGGGAGUACGGUCGCAAGACUGAAACUCAAAGGAAUUGACGGGGUCAUAGCUGUUUCCUG
rnacentral:rRNA from 1 species